AAGUCUGCAAGACAAAAAAAAAAGGAACAAUGACUGCAUUAUGACACCACCACCAGCAGCCAAUAGAAAAUAGAUUUUUGAUUAAAACUGUGUGAUCAAUUGAACUAAAGAAAUGUCAUAGAAUCAUAGAGUUGGAAGAGACCACAUGGGCCAUCAAGUCUAACCCCUUGCCAUGCAGGAAAAUCACACUCAAAGUACCCCCAACAGAUGACCAUCCAGCCUCUGUUUUAAAGCCUCCAAAGAAGCAGCCUCCACUAGACUCCGAGGCAGAGAAUUCUUCCUAAUGUUCAGGUGGAAUCUCCUUUCCAGGGACUUAGGCUUUGCCUACAAUCAUCCAUGAAGAAAUGGGGUAGUUUCCCACCUGUGCAGAUAACAGAAGCAUCCUCGUGGUGAUUGCAGUUAUGCUUGCCCCAGGGCUGAGAACGGCAGCGCCGUAGAGUGAACUCUGACCCAGUGCAGUUGACGUCAUCCAACCAGAUUGGUCCAGAACCAGGCCCAUAACGUGCAUUGCCCGGACUGAGAAGAGGAGCUCCACAGCCCAACUCACGGCACACCACAGCUGCAUCUACCAGAUCCCAGCCAUCAUCACACACCGUUCCCCAGUGGUCUUUAUAUAGAACUUCUACUCGACCAGCACAGGAUCCGGGGCCUCCUACCAGCCGUACCUGCCAUUGGCCUGAAAUUGAAACAGAUUGAGGAGAUUGAAACAGUUUAACAAUUAAAAGCCAAAAUAUCA